AUGUUUCUUUCACUUCAGCAGCACAUAUUCUAAAAUUGGAAUGAUACAGAGAAGAUUAGCAUGGCCCCUGUGCAAAUUCGUGAAGCAUUCCAUAAUUUU
rnacentral:snRNA from 1 species